AUGUAGCAAGAGUGAUUAAACAAUUGGAUGUGUAAAAGGAGUUUGUGUUUCAUGAACUUAAUUUUUGAGGCAAUAUGGUAUUCUUACUUGCUACUU
rnacentral:snoRNA from 1 species